rnacentral:rRNA from 1 species
UCGGGAAUAUUGCGCAAUGGAGGAAACUCUGACGCAGUGACGCCGCGUAUAGGAAGAAGGUUUUCGGAUUGUAAACUAUUGUCGUUAGGGAAGAAAAGGACAGUACCUAAGGAGGAAGCUCCGGCUAACUAUGUGCCAGCAGCCGCGGUAAUACAUAGGGAGCAAGCGUUAUCCGGAAUUAUUGGGUUUAAAGGGUGCGUAGGCGGCCCGGUAAGUUAGAGGUGAAAGUCAGUGGCUCAACCAUUGAAUUGCCUCUGAUACUGUCGGGCUAGAGAACAGAUGCAGCAGGCGGAAUGAGUAGUGUAGCGGUGAAAUGCGUAGAUAUUAGGAGGAACACCAGUGGCGAAGGCGACUUUCUGGACAAUAACUGACGUUGAGGCACGAAAGUGUGGGGAGCAAACA